rnacentral:misc_RNA from 1 species
GAUGAAGAACGUAGCGAAAUGCGAUACGUAAUGUGAAUUGCAGAAUUCAGUGAAUCAUCGAAUCUUUGAACGCACAUUGCGCCCUCUGGUAUUCCGGGGGGCAUGCCUGUUCGAGCGUCAUUAUAACCACUCAAGCUCUCGCUUGGUAUUGGGGUUCGCGGUUUCGCGGCCCCUAAAAUCAGUGGCGGUGCCUGUCGGCUCUACGCGUAGUAAUACUUCUCGCGAUUGAGUUCGAUAGGUCUACUUGCCAGUAACCCCCAAUUUUUACAGGUUGACCUCGGAUCAGGUAGGGAUACCCGCUGAACUUAAGCAUAUCAAUAAGCGGAGGA